rnacentral:rRNA from 1 species
GACGAACGCUGGCGGCGUGCUUAACACGUGCAAGUCGAACGAUGAAGCUGGAGCUUGCUCUGGCGGAUUAGUGGCGAACGGGUGAGUAACACGUGAGAAAUCUGCCCUUGACUCUGGGAUAACUGCGGGAAACUGUAGCUAAUACCGGAUACUUUCCCUGGUGGGCAUCCACUGGGGAAGAAAGAAUUUCGGUCAAGGAUGAUCUCGCGGCCUAUCAGCUUGUUGGUGAGGUAAUGGCUCACCAAGGCGACGACGGGUAGCCGGCCUGAGAGGGUGACCGGCCACACUGGGACUGAGACACGGCCCAGACGCCUACGGGAGGCAGCAGUGGGGAAUAUUGCACAAUGGGCGCAAGCCUGAUGCAGCAACGCCGCGUGAGGGAUGAAGGCCUUCGGGUUGUAAACCUCUUUUAGCAGGGAAGAAGCGAAAGUGACGGUACCUGCAGAAAAAGCACCGGCUAACUACGUGCCAGCCGCCGCGGUAA